rnacentral:lncRNA from 1 species
GCAAUUAUGCACAGGACCAAAACCGAUCAAGCAAAGGUACGACAUACAGGGUAAAGUUGCACAUCCAACAUAUAUUACAGGAAAUUACAUCCACUAGGCAAUCAAAGAUUGAUGCCAGUGCAAAUAAAUGAACAGAACCUAACGAUCUACAACAUCAGAAUCUGCAACCUCAGCAUGGAUGACGCCCAUAAGCAUGUGGGCAAGUUCUUGCUGCUUUGCUACAUCGUCUCUGAAAACUUUGAUCAGUUAUUGUGUCACACGACUCUGCACCUCUGAUUCCUCCACCAUUUCCAUCAUUCCUUCAGCCAUUAAUUGGUUCACAAACAUACAUUUUUUCCGUUGCAUUCGAGACAAAGGAUACUGAACAGAUUCAUAUGGCGAUUUUGGCAGGCUUGUAUUAUUGAUAGUGGAGAGUGUCUCGACCACUGCAUGAUAACAUAAAUUAGGAGGGGAACCAAACAGAAUAAUCAUGAUUUAUUGCCAUAUUACCUGGCCUAGAUUUAUUGGAAAGAAACAAUGGGGUUGCCUUGCUGUUUUCAGAGUUUGUCUUCUUAUCUUCAGCAGCCUGCACCAAAUUAAGACACUAGCAUUGCUAUCAUUGGCCAAGUCAGAUAAUAGGAAUGCAACAUCUAUUAUAUAUAAAAAGUGCUUUACGGAUUUAUGGACUAGCCAGAUAAAAGAUAAAUAGGCUAGAAAUUAUCACAAAAAAUAGAAACAUCUGACCAUUCAAUCAAAUAGACAAUUUAUUUAAUAACUGUUAGAUUAGAUUUAACUUGAAAAUUUUACCCACCAUGGCCAUUACAAUGGAACAACACGUCGAUCCCAUGCCUCUUGCAUUUUUUUCCUUUAAAAAAGGUAAAAUAUCCUACCGUCAAAUCUGAUAAACCAUCCAUUACUUCCCACGAACUCUCCUGCCCCGUACUUACAACCACACCAUCACCAAAAAACCUAUCUAAACCCUAGAUUGGCCGCACCAUCAUCUUCCGCGUUGCCUCAAUAUUCCAGCCCUACGUCCUUACUCCUCUCUGGUAUGCAAAGAAAAGGAGGACAGACUGGCAGAUAUGGAUGGAAGACAUAGGCCGACCCCUCUGACUCCGAGGUGGCUCAGCAUCAGCACAACGGCCAAAGACAAUGGCAAGGUAGGUACUUGAUCGAUUCUACCAGACCAUCCAAGCCUAUCCCUGGUCAUUGCAUGCACAGCCUUUUGUUUUUGCUAUUCAACUCUUUUUUUGUUACCAUAAUUGUUCUAUUCAUCAAUUAACAACACACAUAGAAGUUGAUAUUUGAUGCCAAAAUAUACAUAAGCAUCAUCAAGUUGAUUCUUUUGUCACAUGCAACGUACAUGAAAGGAGAAUAACCAUCCGACAAUAAAAUAUUGGUUCCUGGCCAUUAGUGUCCAUGGACAUCUAUAAUUUUCCACCUAAGAUUUUGAUUACUGUGACUUUCUUAAUCAAACUUUGAAAUAGCUAUUUCCCGUCAACAUUCACAGUUGUCCCAUAAGCAUCUUCUAAUCCCUUUGCACCUCCACAAACAAAUCUUAGUGCUCAGAUCAGGUAAUUUUUAUUAUCUACAUAGGAAUAGUUAUUUAGAGGUACCUAAAAAAUAUCAAAAUUAUAAUUGACCUCUUUGGCUCAAGGUAUGCAUGACAGACAUGGAGAAAAAAAGCAAUGUUCGCUUGUGACACAAUAAGCACUGUUUUCUUGAUCUUAAACAUUGGUGGUUGUCACCUCCUUUUUAUUAGCUACGGCCUAAUCCUUACCUUUGAUUUCUUCCCAACUCUAUUCAUUUAGUAAAUGGCUAAUGCAUUUCAAGUAUCUUGAUUGUCUGCUUAUGAACUACAUAAUAUAAGAAGAUAAAUUUUUAUAUAAAAACUGCAUAAUUAAAAUGCAUCUCACUUCGUGGUUACACCAGAACUGCUAGGAACUAACAACAUUAAACCUUUUGGACUGUGGCUAAAGCAUUCUGCAUGCAAUUCUGCCGAUCUCACUGUCAAAGUUCACACCAUGCACAAAUACAAUUAAAGGGAAGAAUAAAUUAGGUCCUCCAACUGAUAAACCAUAAUCCACAGAACACCGUCAAGCAACCUUGGCUAAACUCUAAAACUCCUCUCCUACUAACGGCACCUCCUUGAAAGACUUGACGCAAGUCCUUUAGAGAAUUUCACUAUAACUGAAGUUUUCGACUAGGCCGGUUCUGAAAGUUUGAAGGAUCGAACCAUUACCCUCUGUUAUUCCAAGACCUGUGUCCACUCAGCCGACCACCAGCCCGGCUUAAUUGUCUUCACAAUGACAGCAAAUUUCAAAUAUAAGCGAGAUUUAUGUUCUUUUGCUAGAGUAAGUUAUUUAAAUUAUGUAAGCAAUUUUAAAGUUAUGUAUAUAACUCUUUACAUUACCUUUACAUGAUGAAAUUCUUUCAGUGGUGAGAAGAUAGGGACCACUCUAUGGGCAAACCUUUUUGCAAGUAUGGUUACUGGAGGUUUUGCACAAACAAACAAUCAUCACUGUCACUACAAAAUUUAUCAGAUAAAUUUUUUGAAGUUCAGAGUUCUCAUCUUUGAUUUUUUUGCAUAUGCUGCUCAUCCUAAUAUUUAAUUAUGUAAAUUUUAUUGAUAUUACUUCUUCAUUUCUCACAUAUACUUAAAUUUAUUUUAGUCUCAAAGAAUUAAAGAAAGAGGCUUUUGUUUAUAACAGCAAUAGAUGUGAAAAGGAGGCGUACUCAAUUGAAGAUGUAGAUCAGUAACAUGUCUGAUCCACAUAAUCAUUCCAGAAAAUGAACACAUACUUAUGAUAGACCUGCACCUCUACUACUCGGAUUUUCACUUUUUUGCUCCUAAUAUUCAAUGAAUGAUUACAAACAUGAGGACAAACACUUGGUAGAAACAACAAAUAAAUGAGAUCAAAGAAUCUGCUAUCUAAAGAAGUGCUCAAACUAUAAAAAAGAAAGGAAAGAAGUUGCUAAUAAACAAAUAAAACUAUUUUUAAAGGGGUUUACGCUAUUAACCUACUGACUAGCAGCAUCCAUGGACUAUGAUCGUUGGAAUCUCCAUUGUACAGGAGGACUAAAUUGCCAGGCCAGGAUAGCAAAACUCGGUAGUGUUUACAUAUAUUCUGCUUCACCGCAUCAAACAUGGAGAGCCAGAACCGAUUUCACUCAACUAAUUAUACACUACUGAUUAUGUACUUUAAUGUACCAUUAUCCAUUGUCUAUUUGGGAAUUUCUUACAUAAGAGUGGUUCAUGCAGUACAAACCAAAGGAAUUGGUCAGACAGAAACAAAGAUUUAUUAAAAAGAGCAUGCGCCGCUACUUGCAUACAUAUGAAGUAGAUGGGUGUUGGCUUUAACAUUCGCUGGGGUAGAGGACAUGUCAAUCCUAGUGAACUAGAUGGAUGAUACUGCCUUUUAUGCAUUACAUAUAAUCAUAAGUACAUGAAAAAAUAGUACACUAUAGACUACCAUCAAAAUAAUAACUGACUUACCUAGGCUAACAAGAUAUGAUAGGACGGAUAUGGUCAACUACUCCGCAUAAGUAUGGGAAAAAUGCAUCAACAUUUGAUUUAAAUAGUUCAGUAAUACCAAACACCGGAGAUGGUCAACUACUCCACAUAAGUACCGGAAAAAUGCAUCAACAUUUGAUGGAAAUAGUUUAGAAAUACCAAACAUUGACACUCUAACAUAUGAUAUUUGAAGCUUAUUAUAUAGUACAACAAUGUUGAGAGCAUCAGAUCAUCGUUAUAUGUCACGUGUAGAAUGCAAUCAGACCUAAUUUUACUACCCAGUUACUAAAUUUAAUUUGGCUUAAGCUGCGUUGGCGUCCAGACUUACUACUAUCUCAUUUCAAUAGCAGCCUGUAUACCAUUUGUCACUAUUAAGAAGUAUCUUAAAGUAUGGUUCAGUCGUACAAAGACAGAAAAAACAAAAAUGAAGAGGGGGAACCUGCAGGUGAAAGAAUGCGACACUGAAGUCGGGUUGCGACUGUCGAAAAUGAAGACGAUGCGUCGGCGUGCCCGCUUGGGGACAACUACGAUGCCUCCGGCCCGGCACUCGGGGACGGAUAACAACCCCAGGAUCCCGACAACCACAACCUACAGGAGCUAAGGGGAACGAGAUCCACUCCUUCAAUGCCUCAAUUGAAGCCGGCGGCAACUGCGCCGUCGAGUACGACGAGCUCGCAUCCUCCCUCGCGUAGCUGAUAUCAGGGCCCCGAUACCCGUUGACGGCCCUGGAGAUCGACGCGGCAUGCGCGCAAGCAAACUAUGCGCAGUCCCAACCACGAGGUGUGUGAGUGAGGACCACGAAGUAGGAGAGGAGACUGAGGGGAGCUUCGAGGUGAUCCUCACAUAUGCGGUAGAUCCAGGCUGGCUCAUCCUUUUCCAUGGCUGGGAGUGGGAGCUUUGGAGAAGACAAGACUUUCUUUUUUGGGAUAGGGAGAAGACAAGAAGACUUGAGAUAGGAGAAAAUGAA